rnacentral:rRNA from 1 species
UGAGGAAUAUUGGGCAAUGCCCGCAAGGGUGACCCAGCAACGCCGCGUGGAGGAUGAAUGUCGUAAGAUUGUAAACUCCUGUUAGAGGGGAAGAAUAGUACCGGUUGGACCGGUAUAUGACUGUACCCUCAGAGAAAGCCCCGGCUAACUCCGUGCCAGCAGCCGCGGUAAUACGGAGGGUGCAAGCGUUAUCCGGAUUCACUGGGUUUAAAGGGUGCGUAGGUGGGCAGAUAAGUCAGUGGUGAAAUCUUCCGGCUUAACCGGGAAACUGCCGUUGAUACUAUUUGUCUUGAAUAUUGCGGAGGUAAGCGGAAUAUGUCAUGUAGCGGUGAAAUGCUUAGAUAUGACAUAGAACACCAAUUGCGAAGGCAGCUUACUACACAAUCAUUGACACUGAGGCACGAAAGCGUGGGUAGCGAACA